UACGGAGGGGGCUAGCGUUGUUCGGAAUUACUGGGCGUAAAGCGCACGUAGGCGGCUUUGCAAGUUAGAGGUGAAAGCCCGGGGCUCAACUCCGGAAUUGCCUUUAAAACUGCAUCGCUAGAAUUGUGGAGAGGUAAGUGGAAUUCCGAGUGUAGAGGUGAAAUUCGUAGAUAUUCGGAAGAACACCAGUGGCGAAGGCGGCGAUCUGGGUCGAUACUGACGCUGAGGUGCGAAAGCGUGGGGAGCAAACAGG
rnacentral:rRNA from 1 species